rnacentral:lncRNA from 1 species
ACCGAGCAUUGGGUACGGGCUGCUCAGGUGUCGGAUCUGUCAAAAUGUAUAGAAUUCGUUCGUGCUCUAAGACUGUCUUAAGCUUUCUAAGUCAGUUGUUAAAGUUAGGUCCUGUCAGCUUGUCGCUAUCCAAUAGCGAUCGGAGCGACAAAUUUAUGGUUAUUUCUACAUAAAGGAAAAUCAUGAACCUUAUUAGUAUAUGAAUUAAUUAGACUCAAAAACUUGGACUUUAGUCUAAAGGUUCUCCCACU